UACGUAGGUGGCGAGCGUUGUCCGGAUUUACUGGGCGUAAAGCGCGCGCAGGCGGACUGAUCAGUCUGGGGUGAAAUCUCACGGCUCAACUGUGAGCGGUCCCUGGAUACUGUCAGUCUUGAGAUGUCUAGAGGAGAGUGGAAUUCCCGGUGUAGCGGUGAAAUGCGCAGAUAUCGGGAGGAACACCAAUGGCGAAGGCAGCUCGCUGGGACGGUACUGACGCUGAGACGCGAAAGCGUGGGGAGCAAACAGG
rnacentral:rRNA from 1 species